CGGAGGGUGCAAGCGUUAUCCGGAUUCACUGGGUUUAAAGGGUGCGUAGGUGGGCAGGUAAGUCCGUGGUGAAAUCUCUGAGCUUAACUCAGAAACUGCCGUGGAUACUAUCUGUCUUGAAUAUUGUGGAGGUAAGCGGAAUAUGUCAUGUAGCGGUGGAAUGCUUAGAUAUGACAUAGAACACCAAUUGCGAAGGCAGCUUACUACACAGUAAUUGACGCUGAGGCACGAAAGCGUGGGGAUCAAACAGGAUUAGAUACCCUGGUAGUCCACGCCCUAAACGAUGAUUACUCGACAUCAGCGAUACACUGUUGGUGUCUGAGCGAAAGCAUUAAGUAAUCCACCUGGGAAGUACGAUCGCAAGAUUG
rnacentral:rRNA from 1 species